GGGCACAUGGUGUAGUUGGUUAUCACAUCCGCUUAGCAUACACAUCGUUCGGGUUUGUGCGAUUGCGGGGGGUGCUGGGUUCAAUUCCCAGUGUGUCCA